UACGUAGGGGGCGAGCGUUGUCCGGAUUUAUUGGGCGUAAAGAGCUCGUAGGCGGCUUAGCAAGUCGGGUGUGAAAACUCCAGGCUCAACCUGGAGACGCCACUCGAGACUGCUAUGGCUAGAGUCCGGUAGGGGACCACGGAAUUCCUGGUGUAGCGGUGAAAUGCGCAGAUAUCAGGAGGAACACCGGUGGCGAAGGCGGGUCUCUGGGCCGAUACUGACGUGAGGAGCGAAAGCGUGGGGAGCGAACAGG
rnacentral:rRNA from 1 species